AAGGAACCCAGGCCGGCCGGGCGCUCUUCCCGUCCCAGUUUAUCUAGGACCCUGCGCUCGCGCUGGCGCCGCCCCACCGUAGCUUUUCAGCUUAGUUUUUUAGCCCCUGGUGCUCGCGCAGCGAAGUGACAAUGGGGAAGGGAGCAAGUGGCAGUGGCGACGGCAGCCUAAGAGGCAGAAUGGACGAAAGGGGCGAGGCCUGCGAGAGUUCCCCAUGGAAGGAAUUCCAUUUUAUGCCUGCAGACCUUGGGAACUGGGAUUUCUCAGGGUGGAACUGCGGGGCGCCCUCCUCCCCAAAGCGCGGAGGACAGGAAGCACCAGACACAGGAGGUACCUCGGGCCCAUUUCCCACUCGCCACCGGAGUUCAGUUCCACAGAAUUCGAACCUCACUUCCAAGAACCCACCACUGGACCCUCUGUGGUGAAGAAGGGAGCACACAGACUUCCUUCAAGAACUCCCAGACUGCUGCUUUCUCUUCAGUGUCUACUGUCUACUUCCAGACUCUUUCCAGGCUCUACCACUAGGUCUUGCUCUGACCUGAAGAGUGACUAAAGGAAGGUAGGAUUAGUGUUUCUUUUGGCCCUUAAUUGAGGACUGGAAGACAUGCAGGGACACCUAUUCUGAAGACACAGAACCAUCCUAAAUGUAUGGGAUAUGGCGUGAUCUUGGGCUUUUGAUGUUCUUCAGGGACACUUAUAUUUCUCCCUUCAGGCUGACUGGUCAUGGAAAUCUAUUUUCUAGUCUUUAUUACUUCAGUUUGAGGCUCUAGCACUUGCUAAAUCACACAAGCUCUUGAGAGGAUGUAUAUUGUUAAGAUUUCUGCAGUCAGCAUUCCUCAUUUCCUGCAGCCAGGAUUGACUGAGCAUCUGAUAUGGAAGGUUGGGUAUUAAAAGCCAGGUAUAUGGUGAAGAGAACAGAUCUGGUAAGCCCCCCUUUACAGACAUCAAAGGCAUACUUCCAGCCAUUUAUUGGCAUUAGCUUUGCAGAUUAUGUAAUGGUGCAGGUACAGUGAACCUAAUGUGAGUUUUCAUGAAGGAGAGAAGGCAGGCCAACCAGAUGAGAGGAGUGGAAGAAUGGUACCAAAAAGGUCUUUCUUGACAUUUAUUUUUCCAGCUGGAUUUUCACAGCUGGCUGCUUAAACACCAGGUGGGAAAUGAGAAACAUGUUUCUCUUCUGCCACUUAUCUAAAGUUUCC
rnacentral:lncRNA from 1 species